AAGUCAGAUGUGAAAGCCUUCUGUUCAACGGAAGAAUUGUAUCUGAAACUGCGAGUCUUGAGUGUAGGAGGGGAGAAUGGAACUUCUGGUGGAGCGGUGAAAUGCGUGGAUAUCAGAAGGAACGCCGGCGGCGAAAGCGAUUCUCUGGCCUAUUACUGACACUCAGUGUGCGAAAGCUAGGGGAGCAAACGGGAUUAGAUACCCCGGUAGUCCUAGCCGUAAACGAUGGGCACUAAGUAGAGGGAAUUACCGAUAUUCUCUCUGCCGUAGCUAACGCAUUAAGCGCCCCGCCUGGGGAGUACGGCCGCAAGGCUAAAACUCAAAAGAAUUGACGGGGGCUCGCACAAGCGGUGGAGCAUGUGGCUUAAUUCGAUGCAACGCGAAAAACCUUACCGGGGCUUGACAUGGUAGAAGUAGGAACCCGAAAGGGUAACGAACGGUAUCCAGUCCGUAACUAUUACAGGUGUUGCAUGGCUGUCGUCAGCUCGUGUCGUGAGACGUUGGGUUAAGUCCCCUAACGAGCGAAACCCUUGUUUUUAGUUGCCAGCGGGUUAUGCCGGGCACUCUAGAAAGACUGCCGUCGUCAAGACGGAGGAAGGUGGGGACGACGUCAAGUCAUCAUGGCCCUUAUGCCCCGGGCUGCACACGUGCUACAAUGGCCGGUACAAACGGAAGCGAAG
rnacentral:rRNA from 1 species